UCCCUCGUGGCUCAGAUAGUAAAGAAUCUACCUGCAAUGCAGGAGACCCAGGUUCAAUCCCUGGUUUGGGAA
rnacentral:tRNA from 1 species